GUGCUCGCUUCAGCAGCACAUACACUAAAACUGGAACAAUACAGAGAAGAUUAGCAUGGCCCCUGAGCAAGGACGACAUGCAAAUUCAUGAAGCAGUCCAUAUUUUU